rnacentral:rRNA from 1 species
AAUCAACGCUGGCGGCGUGCCUCAGACAUGCAAGUCGAACGCGAAAGUUCCCUUCGGGGGAUGAGUAGAGUGGCGCACGGGUGAGUAACACGUAGGUAAUCUACCUUCGGAUGGGGAAUAACAACCGGAAACGGUUGCUAAUACCGCAUAAUGCAGCGGCACCUAAUGGUGACAGUUGUUAAAGCGGGGGAUCGAAAGACCUCGCGUCUGAAGAGGAGCCUGCGGCGGAUUAGCAGUUGGUAGGGUAACGGCCUACCAAGGCUACGAUCCGUAGCCGGCCUGAGAGGGCGGUCGGCCACACUGACACUGACA